GACGAACGCUGGCGGCGUGCUUAACACAUGCAAGUCGAGCGGUAAGGCCCUUUCGGGGGUACACGAGCGGCGAACGGGUGAGUAACACGUGGGUGACCUGCCCUCAGCUCUGGGAUAAGCCUGGGAAACUGGGUCUAAUACUGGAUAUGACUCCACGGUGCAUGUCGUGGGGUGGAAAGCCUUGUGCGGCUGAGGAUGGGCCCGCGGCCUAUCAGCUUGUUGGUGGGGGAU
rnacentral:rRNA from 1 species